rnacentral:rRNA from 1 species
AGUGAACGUUGGCGGCGUGGAUUAGGCAUGCAAGUCGAGCGAUCGUAGCAAUACGGGAGCGGCAAACGGGGUAGGAAUACAUCGGAACGUACCUUUUGGUUGAGAAUAGCGUUGGGAAACUGACGGUAAUACUCAAUAAAGUCGAGAGACCAAAGGUUUACUGCCGGAAGAGCGGCCGAUGCGAUAUUAGGUAGUUGGUGGGGUAAUGGCCUACCAAGCCUGAGAUGUCUAGGGGGUGUGAGAGCAUGGCCCCCACCACUGGGACGUGAGAUACUGCCCACGACACCUACGGGUGGGCUGCAGUCGAGGAUCUUCG